GACGAACGCUGGCGGCGUGCCUAAUACAUGCAAGUAGAACGCACAGUUUAUACCGUAGCUUGCUACACCAUAGACUGUGAGUUGCGAACGGGUGAGUAACGCGUAGGUAACCUGCCUGGUAGCGGGGGAUAACUAUUGGAAACGAUAGCUAAUACCGCAUAAUAUUGAUUAUUGCAUGAUAAUUGAUUGAAAGAUGCUAUUGCAUCACUACCAGAUGGACCUGCGUUGUAUUAGCUAGUAGGUGAGGUAACGGCUCACCUAGGCGACGAUACAUAGCCGACCUGAGAGGGUGAUCGGCCACACUGGGACUGGGACACGGCCCAGACUCCUACGGGAGGCAGCAGUAGGGAAUCUUCGGCAAUGGACGAAAGUCUGACCGAGCAACGCCGCGUGAGUGAAGAAGGUUUUCGGAUCGUAAAGCUCUGUUGUAAGAGAGGAACGGGUGUGAGAGUGGAAAGUUCACACUGUGACGGUAUCUUACCAGAAAGGGACGGCUAACUACGUG
rnacentral:rRNA from 1 species